GAUCNGGCUCAGGAUGAACGCUAGCUACAGGCUUAACACAUGCAAGUCGAGGGGCAGCAUUUUAGUUUGCUUGCAAACUAAAGAUGGCGACCGGCGCACGGGUGAGUAACACGUAUCCAACCUGCCGAUAACUCAGGGAUAGCCUUUCGAAAGAAAGAUUAAUACCUGAUGGCAUAGGAUUAUCGCAUGAUAAUCCUAUUAAAGAAUUUCGGUUAUCGAUGGGGAUGCGUUCCAUUAGG
rnacentral:rRNA from 1 species